rnacentral:rRNA from 1 species
CACGUAGGGUGCGAGCGUUGUCCGGAAUUAUUGGGCGUAAAGAGCUCGUAGGCGGCUUGUCGCGUCGAAUGUGAAAUCUCGGGGCUCAACUCCGAGCUUGCAUUCGAUACGGGCAGGCUAGAGUUCGGUAGGGGAGACUGGAAUUCCUGGUGUAGCGGUGAAAUGCGCAGAUAUCAGGAGGAACACCGGUGGCGAAGGCGGGUCUCUGGGCCGAUACUGACGCUGAGGAGCGAAAGCGUGGGGAGCGAACAGG